UUCGGGGUACACGAGCGGCGAACGGGUGAGUAACACGUGGGUGAUCUGCCUCGCACUCUGGGAUAAGCCUGGGAAACUGGGUCUAAUACCGGAUAUGACCACGGAUCGCAUGGUUUGUGGUGGAAAGAUUUAUCGGUGCGAGAUGGGCCCGCGGCCUAUCAGCUUGUUGGUGGGGUAAUGGCCUACCAAGGCAACGACCGGUAGCCGACCUGAGAGGGUGACCGGCCACACUGGGACUGAGACACGGCCCAGACUCCUACGGGAGGCAGCAGUGGGGAAUAUUGCACAAUGGGCGAAAGCCUGAUGCAGCGACACCGCGUGAGGGAUGACGGCCUUCGGGUUGUAAACCUCUUUCGACAGGGACGAAGCGCAUGUGACGGUACCUGUAGAAGAAGCACCGGCCAACUACGUGCCAGCAGCCGCGGUAAUACGUAGGGUGCGAGCGUUGUCCGGAAUUACUGGGCGUAAAGAGCUUGUAGGCGGUUCGUCGCGUCGAUUGUGAAAACUUGCAGCUCAACUGCAAGCUUGCAGUCGAUACGGGCGGACUACAGUACUUCACGGGAGACUGGAAUUCCUGGUGUAGCGGUGAAAUGCGCACAUAUCAGGAGGAACACCGGUGGCGAAGGCGGGUCUCUGGGAAGUAACUGACGCUGAGAAGCGAAAGCGUGGGUAGCGAACAGGAUUAGAUACCCUGGUAGUCCACGCCGUAAACGGUGGGUACUAGGUGUGGGUUCCUUCCACGGGAUCCGUGCCGUAGCUAACGCAUUAAGUACCCCGCCUGGGGAGUACGGCCGCAAGGCUAAAACUCAAAGGAAUUGACGGGGGCCCGCACAAGCGGCGGAGCAUGUGGAUUAAUUCGAUGCAACGCGAAGAACCUUACCUGGGUUUGACAUACACCAGAAAGCCGUAGAGAUACGGCCCCCCUUGUGGUUGGUGUACAGGUGGUGCAUGGCUGUCGUCAGCUCGUGUCGUGAGAUGUUGGGUUAAGUCCCGCAACGAGCGCAACCCUUAUCUUAUGUUGCCAGCGCGUAAUGGCGGGGACUCGUGAGAGACUGCCGGGGUCAACUCGGAGGAAGGUGGGGACGACGUCAAGUCAUCAUGCCCCUUAUGUCCAGGGCUUCACACAUGCUACAAUGGCCGGUACAGAGGGCUGCGAUACCGUGAGGUGGAGCGAAUCCCUUAAAGCCGGUCUCAGUUCGGAUCGGGGUGUGCAACUCGACCCCGUGAAGUGGGAGUCGCUAGUAAUCGCAGAUCAGCAACGGUGCGGUGAAUACGUUCCCGGGCCUUGUACACACCGCCCGUCACGUCAUGAAAGUCGGUAACACCCGAAGCCGGUGGCCUAACCCUUG
rnacentral:rRNA from 1 species